CCUACGGGUGGCAGCAGUGAGGAAUAUUGGUCAAUGGCCGGAAGGCUGAACCAGCCAUGCCGCGUGAAGGUCAGUGCCCUUUGGGCGUUAAACUUCUUUUGUGCGGGAGCAAUAAUGGUCACGUGUGGCCAGACGAGAGUACCGUACGAAUAAGCAUCGGCUCACUCCGCGCCCGACGCCGCGGUAAAACGGGGGAUGCAAGCGUUAUCCGGGUUUAUUGGGUUUAAAGGGUGCGUAAGCUGUGAGGUAAGUCAGCGGGGAAAUGCCCCCGCUCAACGGGGUGAAGUGCCAUUGAUACUGCCUUGCUGGAAUGCGGAUGCCGUGGGAGGAAUGUGUGGUGUAGCGGUGAAAUGCAUAGAUAUCACACAGAACACCGAUUGCGAAGGCAGCUCACGAAUCCGCGAUUGACGCUGAUGCACGAAAGCGUGGGUAUCAAACAGGAUUAGAUACCCCAGUAGUC
rnacentral:rRNA from 1 species